UACGUAGGUGGCAAGCGUUGUCCGGAAUUAUUGGGCGUAAAGCGCGCGCAGGCGGUCCUUUAAGUCUGAUGUGAAAGCCCUCGGCUCAACCGAGGAGGGUCAUUGGAAACUGGAGGACUUGAGUGCAGAAGAGAAAAGCGGAAUUCCACGUGUAGCGGUGAAAUGCGUAGAGAUGUGGAGGAACACCAGUGGCGAAGGCGGCUUUUUGGUCUGUAACUGACGCUGAGGCGCGAAAGCGUGGGGAGCAAACAGG
rnacentral:rRNA from 1 species